UAACAAAUGGCUGCACAACAAAAUGCAAAACGAAAUAUUUUUAGUAUCUCAAAAUAGAUUUUUUUUGGUGACCUCUAAAAACCACACAACUUUCAGAAGAAGAACGACGAAAAAUUAAUAAUAGAGGAGGAGAGGAGGAGCAACAUCACUACUAUUUCUAUUUUUUCAGCCAAUCAGAGUGCUCCGGAAUUCGCCCACUCGCACCAACUUCACCUCACGCGCUCCAUUUCAUAACCAGAUGCACCGACCUCGCGUUUCGCGCGUGUCAUCAAUUUCUGUAGGGGUAAACCCACAAAAUCAUGUUUAUUUCUAAUCUACUCGCUUUGUUUCCAAAAUACCAACGCGUGAUCUCGAAAGCAUUUUU
rnacentral:sRNA from 1 species